UACGUAGGGGGCGAGCGUUGUCCGGAAUUAUUGGGCGUAAAGAGCGUGUAGGCGGUUCGGUAAGUCUGCCGUGAAAACCCAGGGCUCAACCCUGGGCGUGCGGUGGAUACUGCCGGGCUAGAGGGUGGUAGAGGCGAGUGGAAUUCCCGGUAUAGCGGUGAAAUGCGCAGAUAUCGGGAGGAACACCAGUAGCGAAGGCGGCUCGCUGGGCCAUACCUGACGCUGAGACGCGAAAGCGUGGGGAGCGAACAGG
rnacentral:rRNA from 1 species